ensembl:lncRNA
AGAAAAGAGAGCCAGAAUGCAUGAAAUAGUAGAUGUAUUAGUCCUUUGAGGAAGAGAAAAAGAUUUUAAACUGAAUUGUAAGAGCUGGGAAACCCAAGAAGGAAUCUGAAUAAGAAACUGAGAACAGCAAGAAAUUAUGAUGACUUAUUUCAGUAGUGGGGGUGGCUGAGAAAGUAAACAAGAAAGGUCUGGGAAAAGACAGCUCUGUAGGGCAGAUUUCACCAAGAAGCUAGAAGGAAGAAAAGGGAGAAUUUCAAGUGUAACUUACUAAGUCUAGAUACGGAUAUAAGCUUUAAUAUGGAAAAGGAGGAGACUGGUGUAACCUGAGCUUCCAAUUCACAAUGGUAAAACAAAAAGACAAGUAUGAAAUUUGGUAUCUCAUAAUAUUUCCAUUUUUUCCAGCUUCAUCUGCAAAAAAAAUGAAUGGCUGUAGAAGAGAUAACAAUAAGUGAAGAAGAGAUCAGAGGGAAGUCAUGCUUCAUACGUGCCUUUGUUUCCACAGCAUGCGUUUGCUCAUCACAACCAUCACAGGAUCUGAGCUUGCCACCUCUACAAAUCUGCAGAGCUCACAGCUUGUGAUACUUUUCAAAUUAGCUUGGAAAUGACUUCUCACCUGCAAGUGAUUGCCUCAUUAUUCUCUUCUAUGCUGACCUUAGCCUACUUGAAACAAGGAGUUCACCAAAUCAAUGCAGCAUUUUAUGGUGCUGUAGACUUAGAGUGAGAGUUUCCAAGGACCUGUAUUUAAGGUGGACAACUUACCACUAAACAGACAGGGAGACAAUGGUAAAUGGUUGAAUUCUUCCUCCCCUUUCAGUGCUCAAUAGUUGGGGUGAAAAACAGCAUCAAAUUUGCAGAGCUAGAGCACAAUAAUCCAGAUUCAUCUUUACUAUUUAAGAUUUUUUAGUUAUAAGCAGUAUUUACAACCUACUGCGGUGUACUAGCAGCCUUUGCAAGGCUGCAGCAAUAUUCAGUACUACAUGUAUGCUGUAUUUCAUGAAAAACAGAAGUUCAUGUAAUGUGACCUUGUAUAUGUCUACAUUCAAAUGUAAUAUUUUUCUGCUUUUUAAUCCUUCUUUAAUAUUAGUAGAAAUCUGGCUCAGAGCUGUACAGUACCAUAACCUUUUAUAUAUUUCUUGACCUCUCUUUCGGAUAAAGAUUCUGAUGGCAAUGUAUUAUGAAUACCAGUCAGUCUGAGGCCUAAAUGUAAUUUUUUUGAGCAAAGUAUUCUCUGACCAAAUAUAUUUUUGGUAAAAAAUCCAUAAAUUUUUUAUUGUUCCUAUUCUGCAACCCUGCAAAUAUGGUAGAAACGUGUCUUUUUUCUGCUUCAAAGAUAAUGUUUUAUGCAAUUGUGUCAUUUGAAUGAAGGCAGGAAAUAAAAUCGUUUGCUAUCCC